AUUGCUCGCUUCGUGGGAAUAGGUUUAGCUUGUUCUGUUCCGGGAAUAAUGAAGUUUGCCUGUUUUUAUGUACGUUGUUAAUUUUCUUUUCCUGUACGUGUAAUGGAAUACGGGUAAAAUUUUUAUUUUCUCUGUAGAUGUAAUUAGUGAGUUUUCAUAUAUUAUUGACAGGCUCAUGCAUAUAACAAUUUUGGGCCUUUGAGUGCUUACCUUUCUGUAAAUUAUCUGGAUAGAUUCCUGUCAUCCUAUGAGCUCCCUAAAGGAAAAAUCUGGAUGGCUCAAUUAUUAGCAGUAGCUUGCUUGUCUUUGGCUGCCAAAAUGGAGGCGGCGACGGUCCCUCUAUUUCUUGAUCUGCAGGUGGGGGAGGCCAAGUUUGUUUUUGAGGCUAGGACUAUAUAGAGAAUGGAGCUUCUUCUAUUGAGUACUCUGAAAUGGAGAAUGCAAUUGGCGUUCUGGAUGCUGCAUACUUGAGCUACAAAAGGGAAGAAAUGACUUGUUCGUCACAGCCAAGCUCUCACCACUCCUCUCCAGCAGAAAAAAGAAGGAAAAUUAGCGGGCCUUCUUUUUUAUGAAGGGACGAAAGUUCCCCUUUUUUUGUUUCUAUACUCAUAAUGGUUAGAAAAGCUUUAAGUUUCAGGACAAUUUAGUUGAUUUGAUAAUGAGAUGAAAAAAAAUGACAAAAAUAAUGAAGAUGGAGGUAUGGAUCAGUUGAAAUGGCAAAAUGGAAGUAAUGUAUCUUUUGGUUUAAAUCGAUUUGGCAUAAACAUGCGGCUAUUCGGUAUUCUGUAUUCCUUUACAAUGCCAGGGAAAUCUUCAUUCUAUUCGUUGUUGCUA